rnacentral:lncRNA from 1 species
AUGUGCUUUUCCUUUUUUUCCUGGAAUCCACCUGCUGUGAUAAUACCUAGGUUGGCGUUUGCAGUGACAAGGAUACCUAGUACACGUCAGGGGAACAAAAGCGGCAAGUCUUCACCAAUUAGCCUGGUAAGUGUAAUAGGCAAACUAUUGGGCAUGAGAGCGUAUGAAGAAAGUCGUAUACCCUGGAGGAUGGUGUUGGUGAGAAGGCAUUUGAGAAUGUAACAAACUAAGGGUCUGAAGGGGGAAAAGAAACUACAGGUACUCAGGAGAAGGAGUGGGAGAGACUUCAAGGUGACACAGUUAUAUACGGAUAGAUGAAGAGAGAGGGAGCUUUAGAGAUGAGGAUGGACAAGUGUGAAGCAGGUUUUACGAGGAAUUUAGACCUUAUUCUCAUGGCUACAUUAAAACCAUUGGAAUCUGAAAAAGAAUGGACAUAGGCCUUCAAAUUUAAUUUCUGUCCCUUGAACUUUUAUCCAAAGGGAAAUCUUUAGGUUAUUCAUCACCUAUGUUUAGUCCUAUCUAACAUAUUGAUGUGCCUAAUCAUAAAUUAAUUGAAGAACUUCAGGGCAUCAUUUUUAUCAUACAGAGUUCUCUCAAACACUUCUUCCUAUGAAUUUCUAUUCGUUCACUCUGCAGAAAUGUGGGAGUCAGGAGUUUGCUGAUUGGCAAUGAGUUGUUAAGUGACUGAGUUUGGAACUUAUCGGUUUUCCCAGUCAUAGCACAGCUUGAAUUCCUCAGUCUGCAGUCAGCAGCCUGAUUAGUCACCAGUAUUUUUUUAUCUUGUUGGUGUGGACAGUUCCUUAGUCUUGAGUAGCCCUGUUUUUCACCUUGGACUUGGAAUUCAUGCUCCUCCUUUGUGGCCUGAUGAAAAUGUGGCUCAUCUUAAACUUGGUGUGAGUCCCCAGGAAUGUAUUUGCAUGACUUGACACUCUAGAGAACGUGAGUGCUCUUCAGAUUAACCAGUGAACUCUCCCUCCUUGAUGGAAACCUUUGCCUCUGUACUUUUCUUGUAGUAUAACUCUGUGUUGAUUCGCUUGCUCCUGCUCACAGAUUACAAGCAUCGGAGGAUAUGACACAUGGAUUGGCCAUCCUAUAGCAAUGUCACUUGGAAGCCCUUGCAGAAAAGGAUGGGUGGAUAAACAGAUGAAAAAAUGAAUGGAGAAGAACAUCUUAUUUCCUAACAUACGUUUUUAAUGAAUGCUAGUAAGAGAAUGAAAGAUAUGUUACCUUAGUAGUUUGUUGACAUUUUUUUAGGAGAAAAUAAUGAGAAAAUAUAGUCUCUUAGAAGCAAACAAAUAUGAGAGUUUCACUGUUUUUCAUGACAAAUGACUACGACUAUGAAGGUAGUGAGAAAUAAGAGGAGUCAGGAAGCAAAAUAGAAAAAUCUGGGCAGCAUAGGACAGUGCGCAAAGAACUACAAACUGGAGAUAUCUGAUUCUCAAUUUUUAAGUUUUUACAUGUUUGACAUAAACAUCUUUUUCAAAGUUUGAGUACUGUCUGUCACAUACGAAGGAGGUACUAAGGAAUACACAGUUACACUUAUGUUAGAUAUAGCAAGAGUGUGAUUUUCUGUGAUGUUCUCAAUUCCAGGGACAAAUGACUCAUGAAUACAUAGUCUGGUGACCAUGAUCUCCAUCAACAGAGACAAUUCUAGUUCAACACUGACGCAGGCCAAAGGCAUAAAACAAAAGUAUAGUUUCCAUCCUUCUGAAUUCAACCAUAAAUCUAGAAGUAAAAUAAUAAAAACACAGGAAAAAUAGCCAUAGUUUCAUUGUUCAUGUUGCACAAAAGGUCUAAGAGACACAGUCAGUAAACGUUUCUAUAAUUUGCUGCACACAGCAUAGGUCCAAUAGGAAAUUUCUCUACAAGGAAGAUUUUGAACAUAGAGAAAUAACAAGAAAUUAAAUUAGAUGGAAGAUAAACUAUUGGCCCUUCACUAACCUCUCUUUUUUUCUCCUUCAAGCAGAAGAAAUAGGUUAGUCCAAUGUCUAGGAAGGAACAUUUUUCAUUUUGAGCUUUCUGAAGCAUUUGUGUCUCUCUGAGCUCCUGCUAAACUCUCAUGAUUACAAUGAAAAAGUCAUGAAGUAAUGAAUCCUAAAUUUAGAUUUUAAUUUAAUAUUGAAUUAUAUUUUUAAAAUCUACCACUUGAUGACACCCAGUUUUAUUAGUGUGAUUCAAGACAAUUAAAAAUACAAAAACUGAUGAGUAUAUAGGUCUAUUCAAAACAUUUUGCUGCCAUCUCGUGGAUUCUUAGGAAAUAACCCCAGUUGUUCCGUGGGCUUUCUUGGAAUAUAUUAGUAGGUUUACCGGCACAGUUUAUGAAAAUAACUGGAAUAAAUGUAUGAGAAACAACAGCA